UGUGAGCUUUUUAUCUUAUUUUGGGUAGUACAUUUGAUAAGCCCUGUUCUAGAAUAGCAUUCCUAAAUUGCUUUGCAUUUGCAGUGUGUUAUGAGAGGAUAUUUGCAGUUGAAGGAUACAUGAUAUUGUAGUGCAUGUUUGGAGUACUGAUAGAUUGUAAUAAGCUCAACACAUUCACCUUGUUCGUAGAGGCUUUCUGCAUUAGAGAAGGGUAUCUAUGAACAAGUUGAAUGUGUUGGUGUUACAUUCGACAGCACUGCAGGAUGUCCAACAUAAUCACAUAUUCUUCAUACUCAUUACAGAACAAAGAAGUUAUGGUUGACUAUUGUAUUUGUAAUGGUAGAUAUGCUUUUUUCUUCUUUCUUUCCUGUUAAUUACUUCUGUUAUUUGGGUGUUCAAAGUAGCAACAAUACUGUCUUCAUAGGUAUGGCCUGUUUCACUGUAGUUGUCACUGCUAUCUGUUGUAGCUUCUGUUAUUUGGCUGUUUAAAGUGGCAAGAAUACUGUGCUCAUAGGCAUGGCCUGCUUCACUCCAGUUGUCACUGCUAGCUGUUGUAGAUUUAAUUUUUUAAGUAUGUCUGGUGUCUAUCAAAGUUCACUAUUUUAUCUAUGUAAAUUGUUUUAAUAGAAUAUGAAACUCAGAAAGCACUAGCAAGGAUACUAUGGCUGACAAUGAUAUUAUGAUUGUAGGUAUAUUUUGUUGUUAUUAAUUACUUCUGUUAUUUGGGUGUUUAAAGUAGCAACAAUACAACGCCAUAGGUAUGCCCUGCCUCACUCUAGCUGUGAUUGCUAACUGUUGCUUCAAAUUUUUAACUCUACUAUUUUAUCUGUAUAAAUUGUUUCAAUGGAAUAUGAUACUCAAUUGAAAGCACUAGCAAGGAUUAUGUGGCUGACAAUGAUUUUUAUGAUUGUAGGUACACAUUUUUAUUUUACUUCAAUUAAUUACUUCUGUUAUUUGGGUGUCUAAAGUAGCAACAAUACUAACCCCAUAGGUAUAGCUUGCUUCACUCUAGCCGUUUAGCUUCAAUUGUUUUAAAUGUCUGAUGUCAUUAAAGUUCUCUAUUUUAUCUGUAUAAAUUGUUUUAGUGGAAUAUGAUCCUCAGACAGCACUAGCAAGGAUAAAAUGACUGAAUAGAAUUUAUGAUUGUAGGCAGUGUUUUUACUUUCAAUCAACUACUUCUGUAUAUAAAGUAGCAACAAUACAGUUCUCAUGGGUAUGGCCUGCUUCAUUCUAGCUGUCUGUCAAUACUAACCGUUGUAUUUGGAUCACUUCUCUAUUUAGAUUAAGCAAUUCCAAUAGAAAAUACACAAUGUUUAUGUAAUCUAUGCGCUUUACCUAUGAUUUAUAUGCAUUUCCCUGUGGAUAUAUCUUUGUCAUAGACAAUUACUUUUGGUUGAUCUCCGUAUUUGGCCUAGUAGCUAACAUAUUUACAGGACAGCAUUUUCUGUGAAAUUUAUGUUAUAUUUCCCUAAUCUCAUUCAGAUCUGUUACAUUUUGAAAAGUAAUUUUAAGCUUUCUCUGCAACAUCUACCAUUAAACUCUGUCUAAUAAUGUUCUAAUGUUGAGGUGAAAGUAGGGAUAGAAGUAGAGGGACCGGUAAAAGGCCUUUUCUAUUUUCAAGCAUGGUCUGUAGCUGGUACCCUAACAGUGACAUUGGAAGGCCCAGCCUGCUGCCAAGUUGCCAACUUGGUUAUCUACAAUAGGCAGGCCUAGUGUGCAACUUGCUUGGUAAUCUAGAAAAAAUUAUGUGAUCAGAUUUGUAUGUUUGCUUUUACAUAUUUAUUUGUCUACAGAGCAUUGAAUUGGGAGAUUGACCCUUGGAUAGCUUGCUGACCAAAUUCGUUUCCUUCCCGAGGGAAAACCCCAUCCAUGAAUUUCAAAAUAAUGUUGACAAUACUAGCACCAGAAAUAGUUAAAAUAAGUGCAUAAUUUACUAGUAAAUCUUUUGCUUGAAGCGGAAAAAUCCAUUCUUGAGCUUAUCCAUAGGAUUGAUCUUGGUGGCCUAGUUUCCACUGGUCAUCUUAGCAACGUUCUGUGACUCCAAUUCUUUUAGUGAUUUCAGCAAUCUUCUUGGCCGCGACGGAGUGCAGGCUAGGUUCUUGCCAGUAAUUCAACCCCCAACCAGCAAAAAUAAAUUCCUAAUUUUAAACCUGUAAUGAAUAAUUUAGAUUACAAGCUAAAUUCCACACACUUCAACAAUUUAGUUAGGGCAUUGCGCUUCAUCAUAGGAAUCGGUGGACGCCGUGAUGCGCAGAUUGUAGUAAAAGCAUAAAUGAUUCUCAAAUAUGGACUCUGGAAAUCAAAUAUAGAAGAAAAAUAUUGAAAUAUUUUUAAACUAUAAAAAUUUCAUGAAAUUGAUUCUUAAAUAAUUCUUCAGCAUAGUGAACACUAGCACAGAUCUUCUAAAUAUUUAAAUAAUUAUCUCUCAAUGCGCAUGCCCCUUUAAAAAGGCAAGAAUCAGGCUCACGAAUCCAAUUUCCUGUAGAUUAACACGACAUACUAAUGUAGAACCAAAAACAGGGAAAAUGAUCAGAAAUAAGUGAGUAUUAUAUAUUUUAAUCUUUAAUUAAUUUUUGUCCUCAUAUAAAUUGUACAGGCUCCGGCAUACAACUCUCUUUUACAGAGUUUGCCCAGUUUGUUCAAAUUGGAUAGAUUCCAGGCAUACAACUCUCUUUUACAAAGUUUGCCCAAAUGAGAUAAAUUCAAGGGCACACAACUCUCUUUCAUAGAGUUUGCCAAAAAUUGUAUGGUUCUUACAUAUUUUCAAUGAAAUGAAAUUUUAUAUGA